UAAAUGCUUAACAGUAUAAAUGCUAUGCCCAUGUUAAACUGUUCGUUUCAGUAAUCUUCGAGAGCCAGCUGUAUCCGACAGUGUACUAACUCAGCCCGAAACCAUAGAAUACACCGUUGUAGACGCAGGAACCAAAAGAGGCAAACCAAAGCUAGUAUCCUCCGAUGGAUAUUCAUUCACGUUUAAGAAACAGACAAAGAAGCAAGCUGUGUGGCGAUGCAGCGUGCGACGGAAAGCGUUCAUGUGUACCGCGUCGGUCACGCAAGAGGGUGACAUAUUUCAAGCGAAAGGGACGCACACUCACGCUGCUGACCCUUCGAUGCGGAAGAAAGUGGAAUUGAAAUGUAAUUUGAAGACAGAGGCCGUGGCUGAUGUGUUCGCGGCCUCCCGUAGAUUGGUUGAUGACCAU